rnacentral:rRNA from 1 species
GACGAACGCUGGCGGCGUGCUUAACACAUGCAAGUCGAACGGAAAGGGACUGCUUGCCGGGUACUCGAGAGUCGAACGGGUGAGUAAAACGCGGGUGAUAUGCCCUUCACUUCGGGGUAAGCCUGGGAAAAUGGGUCUAAAACCGGACAUGAGAGAACUUGAGGGUGGAGGUUGGUAAGAAUUUUCGGUGUAGGAUGAGCUCGCGGCCUAUCAGCUUGUUGGUGGGGUGAUGGCCGACCAAGGCGGCGACGGGUAGCCGGCCUGAGAGGGUGUGCGGCGACACUGAGACCUAGAGACGGCCCAGGCACCGACGCGAGGCAGCAGGAGGGAAGAUUGCACAAUGAGCGCAAGCUUGGUGCAGCGGCGCCGCGUGUGGUAUGAAGGCGUUCGAGUUGUAGACUCCUUGCGCGAGGGAAGAAGCUUUGUUGUGACGGUACCUAGACAAGAAGCACCGGCUAACUACGUG